GAAACUCCAUCGAAAAGUAGAAUUCCGAUGCCGGACUCUAGCCGGGUAUUACAGACUACUAGUCGAGUUAAGGGAGUGGUUUUGGCUCAUCGAAAUUUCAGAUGCAUGGUGGCCCAAAGUCAUGCGGUUUACACGAGCUGGAUGGCAGGUCACCGACUUCGUCCUUCGCACAAAAAAUUGGCCUUCUCGCUUCACCACCAUUUUGGCCUCAUAAAAGGAGAUAUUGCCUUCGUGCUUUCUCCUAACUCAAUUCACCUUUCGAUCCUUUAUUUUUAUAUAUUCUCUCUUAGUGUCGUUACCUCUUUUAAACCUGUAAUUGUGUUCGUCACGUUGAAUGCUGCUCUUACAAUUCCUAAUCUCAAAACAAUCGUACUCGACUCUUCCGAGUUUACUGUGGCUAGCUAUUUCUGUUACUUGAAUGCAUAUCCAUGUGGGAAUAAUUUAUUUAGAAGUUCCACACUGUUGAUUUUUCAGAAUCCCAACCAUGUGGUUUACAUCUAUUAUGCUCAAGCUGCUUGUAGUUAGGCGUUGAUACCGGCUAUUAACAAAUUACUAUUGGUGCACAUGGUGCUCUUUGUUGCAAUUUUCCUUUUUUUUUGAGUUGGAAUAGUAAGAAUCACUCAUUUAAUAGCAUUAUGUCCACCUUGACUUCAUUGAAGUGUCAAAUGCAUCAUGCAAUUGACUAUUCUUAUAGAAAAGUUAAGCCCUGUCGGUGCUCACUCACACAUCAUAGUUUACUACUGAGCAAUUAUAAUGCCAUAAUGCAAGUGAGCAAUUGAGGAUCCUAACUAAUGAAAACUAAGUGUGGUUGUUCUCCUAUAAAAUGCUCUGGUUUACUAGAGAUGUUAAAGCUACUGGCAAUAAAUAUUGCCCAGAGGAGAAUCUGGAAAAUUAGCUCUUCUGUUCAUAAUCAGUGUCUCACUAAAAGGACAUUACUGUACGGUGCAUGGAAAUGCAUGCUACAUCUAGAAUUCCUAACCUGUUGGACCUUGAUGGCCUAAAACUUAGUUUCUUUAGGCUGGGUGUUGUCCCUUAACUUAGUUUUUGCACUCUUGAGCAUUACCUGCCUGGCAGUUAUUCCUUUGUUGCUGAUGCUAGCUAUUUGUGUUCCAUCUACUGAAGUUGGUCCUUCAGGGUUUUAUAGGUUUGGUGCUUUGAAUUGCUCAAGUAGUCUAAUUGAUGAAGUUAAAUAUGCAUAGACUAAUUUAAUUACUUUGUAACUGAUGUUUCUCUCCCUACAAUUUCAGAUCCCGGUGCAAGUGCUGAUCUUGCUGUGAUGCAAGAAGGACUUGCACACAUCUUACUUGUCGGUAAAAGGUAAGGCUUUCCUAAAGUAUAUUGAUUUCAGUGUCAUUCGUUGUGCGGUGAUUGCAAGCCCUGGUUUCACUAAGGUUGGUGGCUUGGGAGAUGUUGUGACCGGUCUUGGAAAAGCACUCAAAAAGAGAGGACACCUUGUGGAAAUUAUUCUGCCAAAAUAUGACUGCAUGCAAUAUGAUGGUCUUCCUGUUUACUUUAUUGAGCCUCAACACCCUGACAAGUUCUUUUGGAGAGGGCAGUUUUACGGAGAACAUGAUGAUUUCUAUCAUUUUUCGUUUUUCAGCCGUGCUGCACUUGAAUUGCUUCUUCAAGCUGGCAAAAAACCAGACAUAAUUCAUUGCCAUGACUAAUUUAAAAUUUGCUUCUAUAUGAAUGGGUCAUUUGAUUCUCUGUUUGGAGUUUUCUUGAAUAUUUGUUAUUUUCUUUGUGAAUGUGCAUCCAAUCCUAGAAGUCUUUCAUAUUUUAUUGAAUACGUGGGCUGCAUAACAAGAAUGGUGCCACAGAAAGGUGUACACCUUAUUAGACAUGCAAUAUACCGUACCCUAGAGUUGGGAGGACAAUUUCUACUACUUGGCUCAAGCCCAGUUGCACAUGUAUUUCUCUUUAUGCUACUGAAAAAUAUGCAAUGCUCUGUAUUUUGCAUAUAAUGUUGUCUACAAGAUUUUGAGAACAAACACACACAAGCGCGCACGCGAACAUAUGCAUUUGGAGAAUGCAUUCCCAUGGUUGCUUCCUCCUAAAGCAUCCAAACACUAUUUCAAGGUGCUUUUAGAUGCUUAACUGGAAAACAGAAAAAACAUCUCAAUUGACUGCCUUACUUGGAGAAUCUAAGAUAGUAUUUUGCAAAAAGAAUAAAAAGUCUUGAUCACUAUGCGUAAUGGAAGUAACAUGCUUGCUAUGUGGACAAACAAAUACAUAUGCAGAUAGUUGAAUUUAUGAAAUCUACAUGUGAUUUUGUUAAUGCACACCUUUGGACAUGAGCACUGGUUUUCAUUUACUAAACUAUUCUUUUCCUACUCCUCUGUCAGUUCCAAGCUUACUCCUCUCGACAUAUACUUUUAGUUUACUUGUUCAUUUCUUUUGUAGAGGGAAUUUGAGGUAUCGCAAAUCACUUUCAGAAUCAUGAGCACAUUCGGCUGAUAUUGAAGAUGAUUAACCUCUUUCUCAUUCCAUUUAUGCAGCAUCUGACAUGUUCUGUCAUCCCAUCUAUCUUUGAGCCUUGUGGCCUUACACAGGUAAAGCUAUCAAUCUUGCCUAUGCAAAUUUUCUAGAAUGGCAAAUAACCGAGUACUCACUUCUAGUCCAAUGAUAUCUGGUGGAUUUGAGAGUGAUAUCUUUAUAGAUCUCACUUUGAAUCAGUGACCUAGUGAACAUAAAUUAAUAUUUUAGGAUAAUUCUUGGGGCUUCAAGACUCCGGGGGACUUAACAUAAGAUUUUAUUCAUAACAUAUGUGACGUGCCUUUUGCAUAUUCAACAACUUUCCUGAAAUUAUUUACAAGUAUCAUGUGUAAUGACCCGAAAAUCGG